CACACUCGCAUUUUGAAUCACCAAGGACUUCGGCGGCGUGCUAAUGACAACUACUCUAUUCAACAGAGUGUUAACCAUAGAGGAAGAGUCCCACAUGCUUUGAAUGAUGAUGCACUGGCUCAUGCACUAAUGGAUAGCAAUUGCCCAACAGAGGGCCUUGAAAAUUUUGAUGAGUGGACCAUUGAUUUGAGGAAGCUUAAUAUGGGUACAGCUUUUGCACAAGGUGCAUUUGGGAAACUCUACAGAGGAACUUACAA
rnacentral:misc_RNA from 1 species